CUUAGGCAUCUAGUGGCGGACGGGUGAGUAACGCGUGAGAAUCUGGCUCCAGGUCGGGGAUAACAGUUGGAAACGACUGCUAAUACCGGAUGUGCCGAGAGGUGAAAGAUUUAUUGCCUGGAGAUGAGCUCGCGUCUGAUUAGCUAGUUGGUGGUGUAAGGGACCACCAAGGCGUCGAUCAGUAGCUGGUCUGAGAGGAUGAUCAGCCACACUGGGACUGAGACACGGCCCAGACUCCUACGGGAGGCAGCAGUGGGGAAUUUUCCGCAAUGGGCGAAAGCCUGACGGAGCAAUACCGCGUGAGGGAGGAAGGCUCUUGGGUCGUAAACCUCUUUUCUCAAGGAAGAAGAAAGUGACGGUACUUGAGGAAUAAGCAUCGGCUAACUCCGUGCCAGCAGCCGCGGUAAUACGGAGGAUGCAAGCGUUAUCCGGAAUGAUUGGGCGUAAAGGGUCUGCAGGUGGAACUGAAAGUCUGCUGUUAAAGAGUUUGGCUUAACCAAAUAAAAGCGGUGGAAACUACAGAACUAGAGUGCGGUAGGGGCAAAAGGAAUUCCUGGUGUAGCGGUGAAAUGCGUAGAUAUCAGGAAGAACACCGGUGGCGAAAGCGUUUUGCUAGACCGUAACUGACACUGAGGGACGAAAGCUAGGGGAGCGAAUGGGAUUAGAUACCCCAGUAGUCCUAGCCGUAAACGAUGGAUACUAGGCGUGGCUUGUAUCGACCCGAGCCGUGCCGGAGCUAACGCGUUAAGUAUCCCGCCUGGGGAGUACGCACGCAAGUGUGAAACUCAAAGGAAUUGACGGGGGCCCGCACAAGCGGUGGAGUAUGUGGUUUAAUUCGAUGCAACGCGAAGAACCUUACCAAGACUUGACAUCCUGCGAAU
rnacentral:rRNA from 3 species